rnacentral:rRNA from 1 species
CCUACGGGUGGCUGCAGUGAGGAAUAUUGGUCAAUGGACGAGAGUCUGAACCAGCCAAGUAGCGUGAAGGAUGACUGCCCUAUGGGUUUUAAACUUCUUUUAUAUGGGAAUAAAACCGGGUAUGCAUACCCUCUUGUAUGUACCAUAUGAAUAAGGAACGGCUAACCUCGUGCCAGCAGCCCCGGCAAUACGGUGGAUCCGAGCGUUAUCCGGAUUUAUUGGGUUUAACGGGAGCGUAGGUGGAUUGUUAAGUCAGGUGUGAAAGUUUGCGGCUCAACCGUACAAUUGCAGUUGAAACUGGCAGUCUUGAGUACAGUAGAGGUGGGCGGAAUUCGUGGUGUAGCGGUGAAAUGCUUAGAUAUCACGAAGAACUCCGAUUGCGAAGGCAGCUCACUGGACUGCAACUGACACUGAUGCUCGAAAGUGUGGGUAUCAAACAGGAUUAGAUACCCUUGUAGUC